AGUCGAGCGGCAGCGCGGGGCAACCUGGCGGCGAGCGGCGGACGGGUGAGUAAUAGAUAGGAACGUAUCCGGGAGUGGGGGAUAACUAGCCGAAAGGUUAGCUAAUACCGCAUAUUCUCUGUGGAGGAAAGCGGGGGACUCCUAAACCGGGGGCAUCAGUGGUUGUGGUGUUUCCGGUUUAGGGGCCUCGCGCUCGCGGAGUGGCCUAUCUCCGAUUAGCUAGUUGGUGAGGUAAAGGCUUACCAAGGCGACGAUCGGUAGCUGGUCUGAGAGGAUGAUCAGCCACACUGGGACUGAGACACGGCCCAGACUCCUACGGGAGGCAGCAGUGGGGAAUUUUGGACAAUGGGGGCAACCCUGAUCCAGCCAUGCCGCGUGCGGGAAGAAGGCCUUCGGGUUGUAAACCGCUUUUAUUUGGGAAGAAGGAGUGCGGGUUAAUACCUUGCAUGACGGACGGUACCGGAUGAAUAAGCACCGGCUAACUACGUGCCAGCAGCCGCGGUAAUACGUAGGGUGCGAGCGUUAAUCGGAAUUACUGGGCGUAAAGCGUGCGCAGGCGGUUCUGAAAGUCAGCUGUGAAAGCCCCGGGCUUAACCUGGGAAUGGCGGUUGAAACUAGAGGACUAGAAUCUGGCAGAGGGGGGUGGAAUUCCACGUGUAGCAGUGAAAUGCGUAGAGAUGUGGAGGAACACCGAUGGCG
rnacentral:rRNA from 1 species